GAUCAUGGCUCAGGAUGAACGCUGGCGGCGUGCUUAACACAUGCAAGUCGAACGGAGCUUAGAAGGAAGCUUGCUUCAUUUAAGCUAGUGGCGGACGGGUGAGUAACGCGUGAGCAACCUGCCCUCGAGUGGGGAAUAACAUCGAGAAAUCGGUGCUAAUACCGCAUAAUGUCGAGAGACCGCAUGAUCUUUCGACCAAAGGAUUUAUUCGCUUGAGGAUGGGCUCGCGUCCGAUUAGCUAGUUGGUGAGGUAACGGCCCACCAAGGCUUCGAUCGGUAGCCGAACUGAGAGGUUGAUCGGCCACAUUGGGACUGAGACACGGCCCAGACUCCUACGGGAGGCAGCAGUGGGGAAUAUUGGGCAAUGGGCGAAAGCCUGACCCAGCAACGCCGCGUGAAGGAUGAAGGUCUUCGGAUUGUAAACUUCUUUGAUUGGGGAAGAAUAAAAUGACCUACCCAAAGAACAAGCCACGGCUAACUACGUGCCAGCCGCAGC
rnacentral:rRNA from 1 species